CUUACCGAGGAGCGCUGCGAGGUUUUAGCCCCAGGCUCGGUUCUUUACCGGCGGUUUUUCCCGUCAAGUAACGGCGCUCACCUGAC
rnacentral:ncRNA from 2 species